GACCCCAUGCCGAACUCAGCAGUGAAACGCCGUAGCGCCGAUGGUAGUGUGGGGUCUCCCCAUGUGAGAGUAGGACACUGCCA
rnacentral:rRNA from 1 species